rnacentral:rRNA from 1 species
UACGUAGGGAGCAAGCGUUGUCCGGAAUCAUUGGGCGUAAAGCGCGCGUAGGCGGCCCUGUAAGUCCGUUGUGAAAGUCAAAGGCUCAACCUUUGAAUGUCAGCGGAUACUGCCAGGCUAGAGUCCGGAAGAGGCGAGUGGAACUCCUGGUGUAGCGGUGGAAUGCGCAGAUAUCAGGAGGAACACCAAUAGCGAAGGCAGCUCGCUGGGACGGUACUGACGCUAAGGCGCGAAAGCGUGGGGAGCGAACAGG